rnacentral:rRNA from 1 species
UACGAAGGGGGCUAGCGUUGCUCGGAAUCACUGGGCGUAAAGGGUGCGUAGGCGGGUCUUUAAGUCAGGGGUGAAAUCCUGGAGCUCAACUCCAGAACUGCCUUUGAUACAGCAAGUCUUGAGUUCGAGAGAGGUGGGUGGAAUUCCUAGUGUAGAGGUGAAAUUCGUAGAUAUUCGGAAGAACACCAGUGGCGAAGGCGGCUCACUGGUCCGGUACUGACGCUGAGGUGCGAAAGCGUGGGGAGCAAACAGG